rnacentral:rRNA from 1 species
AUUGGACGCUGGCGGCAGGCCUAACACAUGCAAGUCGAGCGGAUGAGAGGAGCUUGCUCCAUGAUUCAGCGGCGGACGGGUGAGUAAUGCCUAGGAAUCUGCCUGGUAGUGGGGGACAACGUUUCGAAAGGAACGCUAAUACCGCAUACGUCCUACGGGAGAAAGUGGGGGAUCUUCGGACCUCACGCUAUCAGAUGAGCCUAGGUCGGAUUAGCUAGUUGGUGAGGUAAAGGCUCACCAAGGCGACGAUCCGUAACUGGUCUGAGAGGAUGAUCAGUCACACUGGAACUGAGACACGGUCCAGACUCCUACGGGAGGCAGCAGUGGGGAAUAUUGGACAAUGGGCGAAAGCCUGAUCCAGCCAUGCCGCGUGUGUGAAGAAGGUCUUCGGAUUGUAAAGCACUUUAAGUUGGGAGGAAGGGCAGUAAGUUAAUACCUUGCUGUUUUGAUGUUACCAACAGAAUAAGCACCGGCUAACUUCGUGCCAGCAGCCGCGGUAACAC